rnacentral:tRNA from 1 species
GCCUUCGUGGUGUAGUGGUCAGCACGCUCAACGGGUAUUUGAGAGAGAUCCGUAGUUCGAGUCCCGGCGAGGGUA